CAGAAUUGCACAUCAGAACACCAUGUGAAUCAGUGGAUGUUAAAGAGUUAAUGUUCUGGUUCCGUUUACUGCCUCCUAUGGGCGUUUUGAGUGUUCUGGUGGGAGGGGAGGGGUAGCUUCCCCGGAGGACUUGGCGCCAAGGGCGAGUGAGGUGGAGCUGCGGGCGGGACGCUGGCCGUCUCUCCCCCCUUCCAGGCCGGCUCAGCUCGCUGCGGAGAAAGGCACGUGCUUCGCUCGGACUUCGGUGCAGUGCUGCAGGACACCAGCCUUGACACACUUCUCCCUUUCCUUGCUGUCCUUCACAUUGUGAAUAAGUGAACCUUUAGCCCUGCAAGCCUUGUACGCAAUUCAAAGUGCAAGAGCCAAUGCACUUGCCAUCAGAAGGACAGAGCAGGACAACUUGUGUUCUGAGGAUGUGAAGAUGUUUGGAGGUGUGAAGAUGGUCAGGAUGAGUCUGAGGACUGUCCUCUGGAAGCAUGUAGAAGAUCUGCAUUCCGGGCUGUCCCUCUCCUUUGGCAGCAUUGCUCCUGAAGUUGACUCUACAAAUGACUGGAAUUGCACACUUAUUCCCCAUCAUUUGCUCACAUCUCACCGCUGGCUGUGUUCAUGCUUUGAAGGAUCAUGGCAGCGCUGCCUUACUGCUCCAGCCUGGUUCAGAGGAAACACAGAAAAUGAAGCAUCAUAGAAUGGUUUACGCUGGAAGGGACCUUAAAGCCCAUCCAGCUCCAACCCCCUGCCAUGGGCUGGUGGUCGACUACUGGGUCACCCUGCUCAGGGCCCUGUCCAACCUUGCUUAGAGCACCUUCAGGGAUCGGGCAUGCACAGCUUCUCUGGGCAGCCUGUGCCAAGGUCUCACCACCCUCAUCACGGAGAAUUUCUUUAUAUGAAAUCUAAAUCAACUUUCUUACAGUUAUAACUACUGCUUCUUGUCCUGUCAGUCACUGCCUUUAAUGUCUCUGGACUAUGUAGAAUGAAGAUAAUGCUCAACCCGAAAAACAAAACAAAAGAAAAACUAGAAAAAUUAACUAAUGCUGGUGUUAUGAAUUGUCUAAAUAAAUCUGUACAGAGCAUAUUCUUGAUACUGGACAUAUUUAAAAAAAAUGACAACUAGAUUCUACAUAUAAUUAUUGUAUUACAUAUGUUUUAGGGUUGUUCUUUAUUUAUUUAUUUAUUAACAUUCAUUUAUUUAUACUGCAGAGACAUGGAAAUACUUGUUGUAAUUCUUUCCUGCAUCUUGGAUUCCAUUAGUCCUCCUGAAUUCUCCUUGGUCUUUAGACCAGUUACAGGUUUUUAUUACACCCAGAUCCUUGUCUAGUUCCUUCCCCACUGUUAUUGUUGUUGGCUUCAGAGGUAUUGUACACUGGAUGAAUGGGAGUGGAUAUCUGCUUCUUAGUUAUAUGUGCCUGUAUAACUUUCCUAGCUCUAUUUAAUAGACUAUGCCAACAUAAAUGUGAAUGAUACAAGUCCUUAUAUUGUAAGUUUAUAUAGAUAUGUUUCUUUGGAAUAUCUUCUAUUCUCUUCGUAUGUAUGAUUGAAAUGAAAGCUUAAAAUGGAAAAUGAGUUUCUUUAAGGCAUUCCUGAAGUCUGUUUCACAAGUAAACAGCAGUUCUUUAAAUUUUAUGCCCCUUUUUUUGGAGUGCACAAAACCCCAUGGCUUAUUUUAUCAGUUUAUAGAGAUUUGCUGCUCAAACCCAUCUUCAAAAAUACAAAUAUAUCCAUUCAUUACUUUUUUUUUUUUUUUGUUACAAAUGAAGGCUUUUGUUGAUAACUAUUCAUUUCAGAUACAUUUGUACAAACCAUAAAAGUUCAUUUUUGUGAUUCCUUUAUUCCUUUUAGUAUGCCUUAGGAAUUCAGCUUGAUGCUUUUCAUUUCUCCCAGAUUUAUAUUUUGUCCCAGCAUUUUAAUGUUCUAAUCACAUGAAGACUUGGCAAAACUCCAGCUAUGAGAACUACAGUUCUAGUCCUUCUGGGAAGACUCCUUAAAGUUUAAUGGCAGCAUAAUUUAACUCCCUUUGAAGGCAGAGUUGCAAGUAUUUUUUAAACAAUUUUUUUUUUUUAUUUGCUCUUCUUUGUUGGCAGUGUUUCCUUAGAAGCUAGGAGAUAAAAACUUUUAACCUACAAACUUACUUGAUUUUCAUUUGGCAAUUAUAUUUUCCUUUGUUUCUGCUCCUCAUGGUAGUUGAAAUAUUAGCAUAUUUAUCUUCCCUGAGUACUUACUACUUCAUUACUAUUACAGAAUCAGCAAAAGAAAUGAAUUGAUUUUUCCCCAAAGGUCCUGUAUGUAUGUAAAAUAGAUCUUUCCUUUUAACAAGAAAGCAGGAGCUGAGUCUUCUGAAAUAAAAGUUGUGAAUUGCAAACAAUUGCAAAUCCUGUUGCCGUUAUUGUCACAAGUGGCUCCCAUGAAGUCACCAGACAUCUACAGCUGAUCCAAUCCGCCUGCAUGCUUCUUAUAAUGGGACUGUGACUGCUGUCCAUAAAGGAUGCUUCUGCUCAGUAGCUUCAUCAGUUGAUUUUAUGCCAGGGUUAUAACACAGAAUUCUUCAAAAUUGGGAAUAGAAGAGCUCCCCAUCACCAACUAUGGGGAAAAUACCUGGGUGUCACAUCUGGAGAUGCUAAAGAGCUGCUGCUGGCUUACAUCAGAGCUGGGAUCGGAGGAAUGAAACCAAAGCUACAGGCCUCCUCUGCCCUCUCUCUCAGUUGGUGGCUGAGGUCUGUAACUGCUUUCAAAAACACCUGUGAUUUUUGAGAAGUGGCAGUACAAUCUUUCAGAAAUAAAAGAACUAUCAACAGAAGUUAAAUAUGAUGUUUACAUAAAAUUUCAAGCCAUUAAUUGAUGCCAUGACAAAGUCCCAUCAUAGCAAUGCCUCAAAAUAAAAGAUAAGAACGUAAUUUUAGAAGUGGAUUACAGAUUUUUACCCAAUGAAAAAUUUCAC
ensembl:lncRNA